AAGAAAUUCUUACCAAAGACGAGGACAAAAAAACGAUCACAUGCCCUGAGCAGCUGAUCUCUGUUUCCUGUAUCUGCAUGUCAGCCAAAAUACUGCCUUAUACAGAGACACUGAGAAGAGGCCCCGGCAAACCAGUUCAAGGACUGAGGGCUUUGUCUUCAGACUGCACAUUAAGCUGACAGGAACAGAGUCAGAACUUUGGCUGGAGUUCAAGCUGACCUCGUUGCUCUGUGUAAAUAUCUGCCACUAGAUGGCGAUGGAGACCAUUGCACAGAUUGGAUGGAUACUGUAAAGCCCAGAGGGUCUUGUACAGUAAAGAGAGAGACCUUGUGGAACAAUUCACCAUGAAGCUCUUGCUUUCCAUGCACCUUUGAUGACGAUGUGCUGCAGUGUGGAGACUGAACAACAGAUCCAGUGAAACGAGCCCUGUGUUUCGUAUGUGAUGUUUUAAGCUGAAUGAUCAAAAUGAAUACAAGUAAACUGAUGCCUUGAAACAGCCAAAA